AUUGAACGCUGGCGGCAGGCCUAACACAUGCAAGUCGAGCGGAGCGGCGGACGGGUGAGUAAUGUCUGGGAAACUGCCUGAUGGAGGGGGAUAACUACUGGAAACGGGCGCUAAUACCGCAUACUAUCAGAUGAGCCUAGGUCGGAUUAGCUAGUUGGUGGGGUAAAGGCCUACCAAGGCGACGAUCCGUAACUGGUCUGAGAGGAUGAUCAGUCACACUGGAACUGAGACACGGUCCAGACUCCUACGGGAGGCAGCAGUGGGGAAUAUUGCGCAAUGGGGGCAACCCUGACGCAGCCAUGCCGCGUGAAUGAUGACGGCCUUCGGGUUGUAAAGCUCUGUUAAUCGGGACGCGGUACCGGAAUAGAAAGCCACGGCUAACUACGUGCCAGCAGCCGCGGUAAUAC
rnacentral:rRNA from 1 species